rnacentral:lncRNA from 7 species
ACAAUGCAAAUGGAAACCUACUUGAACACAAUUAAAUCUACGUGGCAAGCAGCAGUAGGAAGGCGGCUGCCCAUGUGUUUUCACAGGGGAUGGCAUCACUCGCUGGGUGUGCAGCAAGGUGCAAGACACCAGGAGAAAAUGGGACGGGUAUUUCUUCCUCGUCUCCUCGGGCCCACGCUGCAGUACUGAUGGGUAAGCACUGCCUGUGAGCCUGCCUUGUCUUUUAUUCAAGUCACUGAGAAAUUCACGCUUUUUAACUCAAGUCCGGAGUAUUGCUCUGCGUUUCCUGUGCUGUGAUAGUGCUGUCCUGCAGUCUCCUGUCCUUCUCCAGUAUCUUUUCCGUACCUACCAUGGGCCUGCAUCCAUGGGAGAAGGAAGUCCUUUGGCUCAUCGCAGCCAGUAAGCAUCACAGCUCUGCUUCCAAGAUUUCACUGUGACCAAUGGAGUUGUGCCACGCUUCAGUGCAAGAGCAACUGUCCCUUUGCCUGGAGGGCUCCACAGGUAAUCCCACUGCUCUGCUGUCCCCAGAGCAGCAUUUGCUCUCAUCUCACGUGCAGGAAUUUAAGAGUUCUGUUGAUAUGGAUGUUCAUUGCUGCACACCCAGGAUCCUCGUUUCCCUGGCUGCUCCCAACCUGAUGCCACCUGCAAACAUGACAAGAAUGCUUUCUCCAGGUUAUCGCUGCUGCCCGUGACAAAGUUGUGAAUGCAGAGGAAGGCUUCCCUCACAGCUUCAAAGAACAGAACUUCAUCAAAGCAUGGCCGUAAUUUAAAGUCUCUCCUGAACGGUAUUCUUUAUUUCUUUUGUAAUUAACAAAAUCAUAAACGUUGCCUUCUAAUCUAAUCGAGAGUGACUG